UACAACUACAUGUUUAUAAUGAGAUAUGAAAUGUAUCAAGAAAAAUAAACUGAAUUGAGUAAUUUAUGUGACAGGUGUUCCUAGAAUAAGCCUCACUUCAUCACCAACUUUGAAGGAUGAAAAUGUUAGGGGCAUGGUUGGUGUUUAGUAUUUAUAUUUCUUAUGGAAUAUGCCACACAGCGUUAAAUUUAGAUGAAUUUCCCGAG
rnacentral:lncRNA from 1 species